GUAUUCAUUCGGUCGUCAGAUGUAACGUUUCGUUCGUAGUUAAUUAGCGCGGUGUUUGGACGCUAUACGAUGAAGUGUAGUGUAGUAGAACAGUUGCUAUAGAGCAUACAGUAACAACAACACUAAUUGGGAUCGGUUGUGAUCUGUGAACAUAAAAAUGCAAAUAUGGCCGCCACUUGUUGGAUGAUGAAUUUUGUUUUAAAGAAAAGGAAGUGUUAAAAAAAAGUACGUAAACUUAUGAGUUUGUAAGGAAGAGAUAAAGAUUAGAAAAGUGCUUAAUCGGAAAUUUUACCGAUAUAGUGAAAUGGAAUUUUUCCUGGAUAAUCAGUAAAGGCGUAAAGUGAAUGAAAAUGAAAAGAGAAUGAAAAGAAAAUAGAAGGAAAUAUGUAAGAUCAUGGAAUGAGAGGAGUACCAUAGUAAAAGAAGAAGUGAUUUAAUGAAAGUAAAAAGCUAAUUAAGGAGCUCAUAUGCUUUGCAUGCAAAAUAGAAGUGCACAAUCUAUAUAUGUACAUACAUGCACAAUAUAUGAAAGCAGUAUUCACUAUACAUAUUUUAAAUAGAGUAGAAGCAACGAAUAUGAAGCAAAAUGCUAACAUACAUAAGUUCGAGAUUAAAAAAUGAAGUGAACGAAGAAGAAAUAAUACACAAUUAAAUAAUAAAACGACGAAUAAACUUAACAAAAGAAAAAAUAUCUAAAUGGUCGCGGCCACUUGGCAACAGCUUUUCGAUAACAAAGCGAAAUGAAAACAUAACGUAGCAACAAUAACAAAUGCUGCAUUAAAUCUGCACUGCAUUGCACCUUCAACAGUAGAACUACAAUUAAAAAGUACUCAUAUUUGAAGCAAAACUUAUUAAUACAAAGUGAACGAAUAGUUAGUGGAAAAAAUUUGCAAUACUUUUCUCUUGCUUACGACGAGUAUCAAUAGCUUUCUUCAGACACGCAUUGCGCGAAACUCAAUUUACAAAACAUUCUAAAGAAAACGUGAAAAUCGUGCAAAAUACCAAAAAUAAAAACAUCCGCGGUAUAAUUGGAAUGGAAAAGAGAGCAUCAAAAUCUUGAUAUGUGCAUACAUUCAUACAUAUGUACAUACUCGGGUAUUCUACACUCAACAAUUCGACACAUCUCUUAAAAGUUGAUUUUCUGAUUCGCUGCUGACAAAAAAAUUAAAAAA